CCUCCUCCUCCGCCUCGGACGCGGCGAAAGGGGCGGGACUCGCCGCCACCGCCUCUGCUUCCGCCGCCGCCGCCGCCGCCGCCGCCAGCCGCUGCGCGUUCGGCGGGGGAGGAGUCGGAGGCGGAGAAGAAGGCGGUGGUGGCGGGUGGAGGAUCGAGCGCUGUUCUCGCUCCGGAGCCGCUGCACAUUUCGGAAGGUAGAAUAAUCGGGAUUUCACUCCUCGAGUAUUAAAAAAUAAUUUACCAUCCGCAUAGCUAGUGCUUUCAGUCUGCUGGUUCUGUGAAGUGUACGUUUUUUUUUUUUUUAAAGGUUAAAAUACUUUGUUAUUUUUAUCAUGAAAUAUUUGGUCACAUUUCUUUUAAAAUGGCAGUCACCUUUGCUGAAGACUACAGAUCUUUUGGAGACCAUGUAAAUAAACCUGGAAAUAACAGAAAUAAACGUUAAACUAUUUUUUCAAUUUUGUAAUUGUCUUCUGGAUUCAUGUCAUUUGUAUAUGAAAUAACUAAUUUUUUUAUUUAAUUAAUAAAUACAGACAUGCAUGUUUGAUGUAAAAUUUAAAUAAACGAGUAUUAGGUAAAAUGUGAAUAUUUCUUUUUAUUUUUUCCAGCCCUACUGCAGUAUCUGGAGUUAGCAAUUUAGUGUUCACCUUUCAAAGUCUUUUUACAAGUGUCCUUUUAAACACACAUAAAAAUGCAAACUUUAUUUGGGGGGUGGGCAUAUACGGAGCACUUUUGUAUAU
rnacentral:lncRNA from 1 species